rnacentral:ncRNA from 1 species
UAAUAGGUGAUGGAGUUCGCCGUAAAUCGCAAUAAGCUAAUGACUCCUGCUUUA